AAAAAAAAAAAAAAAAAAAAAAAAAAAAAAAAAAAAAUAAAAAAAAAAAAAAAAAAAAAAAAAAAAAAAAGAACAUCAGAAAGAAGAAAAAUCAAAAAGAAAAGAGACAAGAGUGUGAAGUUUGUGUUCAAGUUUUCGGUUAAAGCGUGUCUGCUGCAAUUUUCGUUCAAUUCAUCCAUACAGGUUCUUUUCCAUUCUUGUACUAAUAUUUCAUAAAUUUUAGUUCAAUGACUUUAUGUAUCAUUCAAUAUGUAAGAGUUUGAUCACUAAUAUGAAUAUGAUUAUAAACUGUAUUGUAUAUUUGAUUAUCUAAAUAUUUUAUUGUGUAAAUGAUGAAUCAAAAGUGAGAUUAAAAUUUAUAAAAGUGAAUAUUUGGAACAACGAAUAACAGAUUGUUUGUACUGAUAUAUGUAUACAUCAAAUGCACAUACAAUGAAGAAAGAUAGAAAUAAAAAAGUGUAAAAAUCAGUGAGAAUAAGGAAUUAAAAUAUGAAGAACGAUCGAAGAAUAUUUAAUUUCUUGAGUUUUUCGAAAAGUCCUCACCGAAUAUUCGCCGGAAAAAUACUAAAACCAGUAACCAAAACUUCUCCGGAAUCCAUUAAACUAACGACCAAACGGCCGGCGAAGCCCAGCACCGUCGAUCUCCCUUUUCCUUUUUCCGCUCCGUCACUCCCUUUCCCCAAGUCUAGCCGGAAUCUUCCUCAUCGGCGAAGUACAGCCGCGCCGCCCCUUUUCCCUUAUCCAGAUGCUGUCAGCCAUCAUUGGCCGAAAAAAGAAAAGGAAAAAUGCCCCCAACCGACGUAGUCUUCCCUCCUCCGGCGCUGUCGUCUUCCCGUCAGCCAAACCAGUGUCCCCUUACUCACUGCCACCGGCGAAUCUCAACCUAAAUCGCCAAAAAUGGUUAAAACAAUGGUGAGACACGUGAAUUUCUCUUCAGCAUGUAUUUUUUUUGGUUUUGGUUUAAAUCAGAUCUAUAGAUUUUUCUUUUUAGUCUAUGUAUCUACGCAGAUAAUUUUCAUGAAAAGAACAAACAAAAAGAAGAUAAUAGUUAAUGAUUCUUAGUUAGAAUAGGAUUUAUUCUCAUGAUUUUACUUUUUCUCUUUUUAGUGUUAGUGGUCAAGUCCUUUUAGUACAAUAUAUAAUAUAAUAAGUAGCACUCAUUAUUGGAAUGUUUCUUUAUUUAGUUUAUGAAAGUGAAAUAUAAAAGAAUUUAUGAUGACCAUUCAUUAAUUGUUUUUAAUUCAUGUGGGAUCAUAGGUAAUAUUUAAGUAGGGUAGAUUAUGUAUUUGCACUGUAUAUUCAUUAUAGGAGAUGUAAUGUUUAAUAAGUUUUACCAUUUUACUAUCCAAAGUAAAUAUUUUAAUCUUACCUUAAAUUUUAGUUACUUAAUAUAUAUAUAUAUUAAUUUUUGAAUCACAGAUAGGUACGUUUUCCAUGCUAAUUAAUUUUAUUCUUUGAAUUUAGACUAAUUUGAUAUGUGAUUUGGGUUUAUUUAAAGAGAAUAAUUUUAGGAAUAUAAAUUUUGCAUAAUAUGAGAAAAUAUCGCUUAAAAUGUAUUUCGCUCAAAUUUACAGUUAAGAUUAAAUAAUGCUUCGAAUAACCAAAGAUUUUAAUACUUGACAAAUUUUAGACAUUUUUUUUUUACAGAAAUUUUCAUCUCGAUUAAGAAUGCGGCAUACGCAUCUUUCUGAGACAUUUGAAAUUUAAGGAUGCACUAAUGCACCUUGAAAAAUAUUUUUUAAAAAAAUUAAUUUUCACCGAUUUAUUUAAUACAAGAGUUUUAAAAUAAUUUUAGUAUAUUAAAAAUGAGUGAAUUUAGGCCAACACAAUAUAUCAAAAAUAGUUUAAGACAAGAUAAGUCAAUAAAAGCGAUCAUGCUAGAACCACGGGACUCGAGGGGUGCCUCACACCUUCCCUUCGGUCAACAGAAUUCCUUACCCGGUCAUCUGUUUUCGCAGACUAACAAAGAGUCAUUCCUUUUGAUUAGGGAUUCAAAAAGGUGACUUGGAGCACCAUAACUCAAUUUCAAGUGGCGACUCUAUAAAUAAAAUAAUCCCUAUUCAAAAUCGUCUCUUUAAUUUGAAAACCCUUCGACUUGAUCUCUUCAAGCGAAAAAAGGGGUGUGACAUUACUGUAACACCCUGAGUCUGUACCCUAGACGCCACACGGUGCUCAUGACCUCGAAGGACCACAAGUCAACCCAUGACUGGCACCUGCUAUGAGCACUGAAUUAUAAUACUGAAAUAAUGUGGAAAAUAGGCUGAAAUGCUAUAAGGUUCAUAAUCUGAAAAUAAAUACUGAAUACUGAUAAAUAAAUACUGAAAACUGAACAUCUGUCUGAAAUAAUCUAGCCUGAAAGCCUCUAACUGUCUGAACAUAGAGUUGAUGGGACAAGUCCCCAACUAACUCCGACUACUGAAUAUACGAAACUACUAAAAUACUAAAAUGAUAACUCUGUCCUUGAACUAUGAGGACUCACCACUAAAUUUAUUGCUGAUAGGCUGGGCUGCUUAGUACGAUCAGGAGCCCGUGCGUCUGAACCUAUGAUAUAAGACAUCAUAGCACACAAGAAAGAGUAUGCAUCAGUACUUUGAAUGUACCGGUAUGCUAAGUGAGGUAGGCUAAUAUACAAGGGUUCAUAUGCAUGAAUAAUAACUGGCUGAGUAACAUAAGUAUAAUUGAAUGAGAGUACAUAUAUAUCUGAAACUGCUGUAAAUACUGAAUAUGCAAUAUUGCGUGUGAAUCUACUUUACCAUAACUGAGAUCACUGAUAACUGAAUUACUGAUAACUGGGUGACUAUGUAACUGACAGUCCUAAUUUUUUAGAACUAAACUGAGUUCUAUACUGGGUUGGGUGACUGUGUCUGAUAGUCCUGAUUCUAAAAAUUGAGCUAAGAUUUUAUACUGAGUCUGAAACUAAAACUGUAACUGUGGGAGUGUUCAUCUAACCGACAUACUCCAAUUAUAAACUGAGUUGGGGUCCAACUUGUGACCCCAGUUGGAAGGGUGUUAGCACCUUGCCAAGGGAUACUAACAAUGGCUGUGAGUUAACGUUAUCUGGAAGGAAGAAAUUUCGUCAACCCUCACUGACAUAAAAACUCAUAUGAUAUAUAUCAAACCUUAUAUGGAAGAAUAAUAUCUCAACCUACGCUGGCUACAUAGUUCUAUAACACAGGGAUUGCUACUAAGGGUCAAACCCUUCACUGACAGAAAUGCCCUCAUCCCUGAGUUCGCUCAGUGUUGAUUCCUACUCCCAACUGAAUAGAUACUAAACUGAUUUCUAGAUUGUACUAGGCUUGACUGAACUAUUACUGAUUGUGCUAACUGACUGAACUGGCUGAGUUCACUGAGCUCUGCUAACUGACUGAAUACACUGUUCGGGAUACUGAGCUGAACUGGACUUAUACUGAAUUUCACUGAGUUUUGUAACUGACUGAGUACUACUAUUCAUGACAUUACUGAGACUAUUCUGUAACUACUAUAGCUCUAGGUAAACAACUAGAUUUUUGGGUAUUGAAUACCCCAGGACUCGAAGGCAUGAAAAGUAAAGCAAGGCAUGAUUUUGAAAAGCAUAACAAUAAAUACUUGUUAACAAUACAUUUACCUAGGCAUUUUGUCAAACAUUUGAGAUACAUGAACUUGUACAUGAAUGGGUCCACAUGAUGACAUAUCAUGAUUUCACUAUUCAAUUCACAUAGGCACUCUAUCAAACACUUGGGGAUCAUGGUUAUUUCACAUGAGAAUAGUCAACACAUAAACAUCAUGGAUACAAUAAUCAAUUGUAAUUUCAAGGGUUUAACAUGCAGAUCAUAUAACUCACCACACAUACUAAUUUAAUUUUAUGAAACUUGUAGUAAAUCAUGGAUUAAAACCCAAAUAAUAUCAUGAAUAUGAGUACAAUCAAAUUCAAUAUGAAAUUCAUGAAAGCAAUCAACCUGUAAUUUUAAAAGAGGUUCGUGAACUCCAAGGGUGGACGAAAACCCUUAGAUGAACACCUAACAUACCUUGUUAAUCAAAUUCAUGAAGAUUGAUGGUGUGUUCUUGAAGCUUGAACUUGAAAUUGGAUGCCCUAGGGUUUUGUUCUUGAGAGUAUUUGAGAGAAAGUGAGUGAUUUUACUCUUUUGGAUGAUUAAUUUUGUGUUUUGAAAAUGAUUAGGAGUAGGGAAAAUAACUUAAUUACCCCUCUGGACGCGGAAUUAAGUGAGAAAAAACUAUGCCCAGUGACGCGCUGGGCGAUGCGCCACAUCGAUGGUCAAUGCGAUAGCCAACGCGAUGCAUCGAUAUCGCAUUGGCUCACUGGAGUUUGCAUUGGGAGCUGGGGAAAAAUAUUUAUCGACGCAAUAGGCAAUGCAACACGCUGACAUCGCGUCGAUCCACUAUUCUGGACUCCCAAAUGUGCCUCAAACGAUAUUCAAAAAAUUUAAAACUCGUCCGAGAACACCUACUAACAUUCCUGAUCAUGAUUCAAACCAAGGAUCGAUAUUUUAAGGUCAUAAGAGUUGUAAAAUAAGAUUGCCAACUUAAGAAUGCUGAAAAUAGUUCUAAGUAUAAACACUUAGCUGAAAUCUCUAAGUCUGGAACCUCUUUUCAUGCUCUAAAGGACUGAGUUAAGCUAGGAUUCUGUGGGGUCUUACACUUACUCAAUAUUUUUUUAGUUUAUCUUGUAUACGAGGUUAAUGCUAUAAUGGAUUAACCAAUAUGCAAGGGCAUCUAAUUGGACUUAAAGUUUUGAUUCAGCAAGAAAGUAGAUCAGCUCAUGUAAUUCAUUGUUUUGUUCAUCAACUUCAGCUAACUCUUGUUCGUGUAUCUAAAAAAUGUCUUCAAGUUGGAGAACUUUUAUUGUUGAUUUCUAAUGUAUUAAAUGUAGUAGGAGGUUCUUUUAAAUGAAUGGAUGAACUUCGAUAAUCUCAAGAAGAAAAAGUCCAAGCGGUACUAGAUAUGGGCGAGAUUGAAACUGGUAAGGGCUUGAAUCAAGAACUUGGUCUUGCUAGAGUUACUAAUACUCGUUGGGGUUCACACUAUAAAUAGUUUAAGAACUUUAUUAGUAUAUUUGGUUCUAUUACUGAUGUCCUUGGUACUAUUGUUGUUGAUUCUGAAUUUAUUUAAGAAAAAGCUAAGGCAACAGGAUAUCUCAGAACUUGUCAAAUGUUUGAGGUUUCUUUCAUAUUGCACUUAAUGAGAGAUAUUUUAUCAAUCACAAAUGAGCUUAAUAAAUUCUUACGGAAGAAAGAACAAGAUAUUGCAAAUGUUGUUCUACUAGUUAAAGUGGUGAAGAAAUGAUUACAAGAUAUACGGGAUGAAGGAUGAGAUCCACGUAUCAAAAAUGUGUCUGCAUUUUGUGUUAGGUAUGAUAUUUUGAUAUCCAAUUUUAAUGAGUUCUAUGUUAACUUGGGAAGAUAUCAACGAAGAGUUUUUGAUUAUACUAUCUCACAUUACUAUCGCAUAGAAGUAUUUUUUAAGAUUAUUGAUUGGUAACUUCAAGAACUCAAUGAUCGUUUUAAUGAGGUGAGAACAUAUUUGCUUACUGGGGUUGCUUGCUUAAAUCCUGUUGACCCAUUUUCUAAUUUUGACAUAAGCAAAAUAUUGAGAAUGGCUUAAUUAUAUCCUGAUGAUUUUGGUGAAAAUAUAAUGGUUACUCUCAAGAAUUAGCUAGACUUAUGUUGUUGAUGUUCGUGAUGUUGAUGAAAGAUUUUCUAAUCUAAAAGGACUUGGUGACCUUUCAAAAUGCUUUAAUUAUAUUCUUGUGUUUCGUCUUAUAAAGUUUGCAUUGCUCCUUCCGGCUGUCACUGCUACAGUUGAAAGAGACUUUUCGGCAAUGAAGUU
rnacentral:lncRNA from 1 species